rnacentral:lncRNA from 1 species
ACACAAUGCUGAUUCCUGCUGGUGAUGUGAGUUUGAUCUCAAGCACUUGAAAUCUUCAGAGUUUCUCUCCAGAGGAGCAGAUAAAAGGAAAGAAGGCGUUUUUUAUUCAUUGCCACAAGGACUAGAAAGUUAUUUGUUAUAGCAGCUGAUAUUUUUGCCUCAUGAUUUACUUCAGAGCUACACAUUUAGCUUUACUUGGAUUUUAUAUGAUUGUUGCACCACAGACUUUUCAGUGGAAGCAGAGUGCAUUUCAUGCUGAAGUUGGAAGACAGCCUGUAAACA